rnacentral:misc_RNA from 1 species
AUUACACAUAUGUUUUAAAGAAAAUUAUAAAUACGUCAGUACUGUAUACCUACAUAUAUGUGUAGUAUCGUGGAUUACCUACGAAAUAUCGGGUGAACUAUAAACAAUGUUGCGAGAAAGCCUAAGUGCCGAAAGGAAAGGGACAGGAAACUUCAAUGAACCAAGCGGCCCAUCAAUGUCCCCAGUCCUUCAGUCAAAUAGUACCCGGAAGGAGGCGUAUGUGAAUGAUCGCGGACGGUUACGCAACACGUGCGUGGUGAAGCCAUGGUUGAACGGCAAAAGCAGCAUAAAAGUGUCC